GUUGUAAUAAAUGAUGUAUGUAUGAAAUUAUGCUCAACAAUUUGGAAUAGGUGUUUUAUAUUUUUUACUCGAAUGCUGUAUUGUUUACUCGAACACUUGUUCUGCUAAUUUACUAAACAGACAAUGCGCAAUCGGAAGGUUUUAAAGAUUUUGCUUCUAAAAACGCAGCCGCCUUGAUCUGCAACAGGUUUCGAGAUUGGUUGUGCUUCGACAUAAUGAUGUAUGUGAACUGAUUUUAAAUUGUAUGUCCUCAUGGCGAAAGUAUCAUGACAAAUACAUUACAUGAUAUCUUGCCCAUGGAUUCCGGAAAAACGCAACAAACUUAUAUUGGGGACUUGCUCAUAGAUUCCAUUUUAUCUCGCAAUGCAAUUCCAUCAACAUUGUGGUAUUACAAAUGAAAACCCGAGUAGAUGUCACAAUAUGGAGAUCAUCGACGCAUCUCUAAAAUAAUGGAAGCCGUAAUAUCGAAGGCUGAAGAUAAUGGAUGAUUACCCUAUGAUCUCUUGGCCCUUCCGUUUAGUUACGAUUUAAUUCGCCUAAGGACUUGUUUAAAUAUCCUGGAGACUUUAUUCAGCCGUCAAUGCAGCUGGCAAGUUUCUACAGAAUCCAAAUAUAUUCACAUCUACAAGUGUUAAUGUACAUUCUAUCAAGCUUCCUUAAAGUUCUUCUAAGUGGCAUUGAAACAAGCAUUCAUCUAAUGUGCGGUAUUUUCUUUUGAAUUUGUUUCAUUUGAAUAUUUUAUAGAAAAAUAUAUUGGAGUAGUGUACCAACCUUAGCGUAAUGACACUAAAUAUUGCCCUUAUUUAUCGAAACAAUUCGGUUCCUCAGAAUCUUGUUACUUCUACAGUAGAAGGUUGAUAAAGUCUUUCACAGGCAUAACCAGAAUCGAUAAUUUUGGUCAAAUUUCCUUGGAUAACAGCUGGAGUAAAUUCGAACUUCGUAAUACUGAUGAAAUUUGGAUCUUUUGCUUUUAGGUGUCGACGAUGAGGCGACUAAUGUGUUCAUACUUUCACCUCAUAAUUAAUCUUGGCAUAAAAUAAAAUGCAUACUUAAGUUUAAAUUUAAAUGUGAAUGUUUACAUAGAUUCAUGGAAUGUUCCUCUGGUGUAUAUAGUUCAGUGCUAACGCACUUUUCCUGAAUCCGAGUUUUAAAUACUUUUUCUCGGAUAUUUGGAAAAAAUUUAUCGAAGUUCGACUUAUCGAGAACAAUAUCGAGUUAAAUGAAUUAGAUUAUGACUGUCUUUUCAAUGGCCUUCAGAAAAAUGUGUUGGAAUUGGGAAAACAAAUAAUCUAUAGUUGUCCAGAUAAUGUUAUUCCAGUCAACGCAACGUUGGAGUUAACUUGCUGCCUCACUUCAACAUUAUUUAUUCUAAAGAAAUUUUACAUUUAAAUGAUCUGCAAUGAGAAAUUCAGUCUAGCAAUAUUAAUCGAAGCACAUUUAUCUUAAAGAUAAUUAUUUGCUAAUAUUCACACUUCGAAGACAAUAUACCUUAAAUUUUCCACUAAAAUAAGACGGAAGAAAUAGGUUUAGAAAGACUGUUCAAAUAUGGUUUGAGAAUACCAUAUUAAAUGUGUUGAACAAAAUUUCAUCUUCAGUAAUUCUUUGCCUUCGCAAUAUUUGCAAGAAAAUCCGGCAGAAAGUGAAAUGGAAAGUCUUAGGCAUUGUUUCCACUAUCAGCAAAGAAAGCGAUUGUGAAACUUUAAAUUUUGGAGCAUAUAUGUUCAUAAUUCACUGGACUUCCAUUUACCGUUUCCGUCUUCAGAAAUGAGUCUAAAAGUGCAAUUAACUUUUGACAUGAUGGAGAAAAUAAAACCAAGGAUAUUCUAGAACACACCACUUUCUACUCGCUUUAAGGAAGCACUUAAGCAUUCUCAAGGAAGUGAAUUUAUGAUUACAAUGUAUAAUGCAUCUUGUAAAUUUGAAUCGGAUUGAAUCCAACAUUUAAAUGGUUAUUUUUCAAUGUAAUAAUUUUCCGGAAAAUGCAUGUUAAUAGUUAAACGGUUGCCAGCAGGAGAACUGCAAAAUGGGUAUUUAUAGUUACCAGUUAAUCAGUAGAAACUAGAUGUAGUACCGUUACUAAGGUAAUAACCAUACAAAUUAUUACUUUGGUUAUUUUUAUGGAUUUGCGAAUUCAUUGUGCCAGACUUUCUAAAAGUUAAACACCUAAUCCCUUGUUAAAGACGCAGUGAGUUACAAGAAAGCUUAUGAUCUCAAACUGUGGAGCUUCAGAUUAAUUUCCCACUGCAAUGCUGAAAUUGAUAAGUUUAGCUUCUUUAUAGGGUGGAAAAUAGGGCAACUAAUAUAGAUAGAAAAUAGGGCAACAACUCCCUGUAACAACUAAUCCCGUUAACCC